rnacentral:rRNA from 1 species
AUUAGAACGCUGGCGGCAUGCCUUACACAUGCAAGUCGAACGGCAGCACGGGAGCAAUCCUGGUGGCGGAGUGGCGAACGGGUGAGUAAUAUAUCGGAACGUGCCCGGUCGUGGGGGAUAACGUAGCGAAAGCUACGCUAAUACCGCAUACGAUCUACGGAUGAAAGCGGGGGAUCGCAAGACCUCGCGCGAUUGGAGCGGCCGAUAUCAGAUUAGGUAGUUGGUGAGGUAAAGGCUCACCAAGCCGACGAUCUGUAGCUGGUCUGAGAGGACGACCAGCCACACUGGGACUGAGACACGGCCCAGACUCCUACGGGAGGCAGCAGUGGGGAAUUUUGGACAAUGGGCGCAAGCCUGAUCCAGCAAUGCCGCGUGCAGGAUGAAGGCCUUCGGGUUGUAAACUGCUUUUGUACGGAACGAAACGGUGAGCUCUAAUACAGUUUGCUAAUGACGGUACCGUAAGAAUAAGCACCGGCUAACUACGUG